UGAGGGAAUAUUUGGGGUCAAUGGGGCGCUAGCCUGAACCAGCCAAGUAGCGUGAAGGAUGAAGGCUCUAUGGGUCGUAAACUUCUUUUAUAUAAGAAUAAAGUGCAGUAUGUAUACUGUUUUGUAUGUAUUAUAUGAAUAAGGAUCGGCUAACUCCGUGCCAGCAGCCGCGGUAAUACGGAGGAUCCGAGCGUUAUCCGGAUUUAUUGGGUUUAAAGGGAGCGUAGGCGGGCGCUUAAGUCAGCUGUGAAAGUUUGGGGCUCAACCUUAAAAUUGCAGUUGAUACUGGGUGCCCUGAGUGCAGUAUAGGCAGGCGGAAUUCGUGGUGUAGCGGUGAAAUGCUUAGAUAUCACGAAGAACUCCUAUUGCGAAGGCAGCUUGCUGGAGUGUAACUGACGCUGAUGCUCGAAAGUGUGGGUAUCAAACAGGAUUAGAUACCCUGGUAGU
rnacentral:rRNA from 1 species